UGGGGAAUUUUGGACAAUGGGCGAAAGCCUGAUCCAGCAAUGCCGCGUGUGUGAAGAAGGCCUUCGGGUUGUAAAGCACUUUUGUCCGGAAAGAAAUCCUUGGCUCUAAUACAGUCGGGGGAUGACGGUACCGGAAGAAUAAGCACCGGCUAACUACGUGCCAGCAGCCGCGGUAAUACGUAGGGUGCAAGCGUUAAUCGGAAUUACUGGGCGUAAAGCGUGCGCAGGCGGUUUGCUAAAGACCGAUGUGAAAUCCCCGGGCUCAACCUGGGAACUGCAUUGGUGACUGGCAGGCUAGAGUAUGGCAGAGGGGGGUAGAAUUCCACGUGUAGCAGUGAAAUGCGUAGAGAUGUGGAGGAAUACCGAUGGCGAAGGCAGCCCCCUGGGCCAAAUACUGACGCUCAUGCACGAAAAGCGUGGGGGAGCAAAACAGGAUUAGAUACCCUGGUAGUCCACGCCCUAAAACGAUGUCAACUAGUUGUUGGGGAUUCAUUUCCUUAGU
rnacentral:rRNA from 1 species